rnacentral:rRNA from 1 species
GACGAACGCUGGCGGCGUGCCUAAUACAUGCAAGUAGAACGCUGAAGAGAGGAGCUUGCUCUUCUUGGCUGAGUUGCGAACGGGUGAGUAACGCGUAGGUAACCUGCCUUGUAGCGGGGGAUAACUAUUGGAAACGAUAGCUAAUACCGCAUAACAAUGGAUGACACAUGUCAUUUAUUUGAAAGGGGCAAUUGCUCCACUACAAGAUGGACCUGCGUUGUAUUAGCUAGUAGGUGAGGUAAUGGCUCACCUAGGCGACGAUACAUAGCCGACCUGAGAGGGUGAUCGGCCACACUGGGACUGAGACACGGCCCAGACUCCUACGGGAGGCAGCAGUAGGGAAUCUUCGGCAAUGGGGGCAACCCUGACCGAGCAACGCCGCGUGAGUGAAGAAGGUUUUCGGAUCGGAAAGCUCUGUUGUAAGUCAAGAACGGGUGUGAGAGUGGAAAGUUCACACUGUGACGGUAGCUUACCAGAAAGGGACGGCUAACUACGUG